AGAGUUUGAUCAUGGCUCAGAUUGAACGCUGGCGGCAGGCCUAACACAUGCAAGUCGAGCGGAUGAAGGGAGCUUGCUCCUGGAUUCAGCGGCGGACGGGUGAGUAAUGCCUAGGAAUCUGCCUGGUAGUGGGGGAUAACGUCCGGAAACGGGCGCUAAUACCGCAUACGUCCUGAGGGAGAAAGUGGGGGAUCUUCGGACCUCACGCUAUCAGAUGAGCCUAGGUCGGAUUAGCUAGUUGGUGGGGUAAAGGCCUACCAAGGCGACGAUCCGUAACUGGUCUGAGAGGAUGAUCAGUCACACUGGAACUGAGACACGGUCCAGACUCCUACGGGAGGCAGCAGUGGGGAAUAUUGGACAAUGGGCGAAAGCCUGAUCCAGCCAUGCCGCGUGUGUGAAGAAGGUCUUCGGAUUGUAAAGCACUUUAAGUUGGGAGGAAGGGCAGUAAGUUAAUACCUUGCUGUUUUGACGUUACCAACAGAAUAAGCACCGGCUAACUUCGUGCCAGCAGCCGCGGUAAUACGAAGGGUGCAAGCGUUAAUCGGAAUUACUGGGCGUAAAGCGCGCGUAGGUGGUUCAGCAAGUUGGAUGUGAAAUCCCCGGGCUCAACCUGGGAACUGCAUCCAAAACUACUGAGCUAGAGUACGGUAGAGGGUGGUGGAAUUUCCUGUGUAGCGGUGAAAUGCGUAGAUAUAGGAAGGAACACCAGUGGCGAAGGCGACCACCUGGACUGAUACUGACACUGAGGUGCGAAAGCGUGGGGAGCAAACGGGAUUAGAUACCCUGGUAGUCCACGCCGUAAACGAUGUCGACUAGCCGUUGGGAUCCUUGAGAUCUUAGUGGCGCAGCUAACGCGAUAAGUCGACCGCCUGGGGAGUACGGCCGCAAGGUUAAAACUCAAAUGAAUUGACGGGGGCCCGCACAAGCGGUGGAGCAUGUGGUUUAAUUCGAAGCAACGCGAAGAACCUUACCUGGCCUUGACAUGCUGAGAACUUUCCAGAGAUGGAUUGGUGCCUUCGGGAACUCAGACACAGGUGCUGCAUGGCUGUCGUCAGCUCGUGUCGUGAGAUGUUGGGUUAAGUCCCGUAACGAGCGCAACCCUUGUCCUUAGUUACCAGCACCUCGGGUGGGCACUCUAAGGAGACUGCCGGUGACAAACCGGAGGAAGGUGGGAAUGACGUCAAGUCAUCAUGGCCCUUACGGCCAGGGCUACACACGUGCUACAAUGGUCGGUACAAAGGGUUGCCAAGCCGCGAGGUGGAGCUAAUCCCAUAAAACCGAUCGUAGUCCGGAUCGCAGUCUGCAACUCGACUGCGUGAAGUCGGAAUCGCUAGUAAUCGUGAAUCAGAAUGUCACGGUGAAUACGUUCCCGGGCCUUGUACACACCGCCCGUCACACCAUGGGAGUGGGUUGCUCCAGAAGUAGCUAGUCUAACCGCAAGGGGGACGGUUACCACGGAGUGAUUCAUGACUGGGGUGAAGUCGAAACAAGGUAGCCGUAGGGGAACCUGCGGCUG
rnacentral:rRNA from 1 species